GAUGAACGCUGGCGGCGUGCCUAAUACAUGCAAGUCGAGCGAACGGACGAGAAGCUUGCUUUUCUGAUGUUAGCGGCGGACGGGUGAGUAACACGUGGAUAACCUACCUAUAAGACUGGGAUAACUUCGGGAAACCGGAGCUAAUACCGGAUAAUAUUUUGAACCGCAUGGUUCAAAAGUGAAAGACGGUCUUGCUGUCACUUAUAGAUGGAUCCGCGCUGCAUUAGCUAGUUGGUAAGGUAACGGCUUACCAAGGCAACGAUGCAUAGCCGACCUGAGAGGGUGGUCGGCCACACUGGAACUGAGACACGGUCCAGACUCCUACGGGAGGCAGCAGUAGGGAAUCUUCCGCAAUGGGCGAAAGCCUGACGGGGCAACGCCGCGAGAGUGAUGAAGGUCUUCGGAUCGUAAAACUCUGUUAUUAGGGGAGAACAUAUGUGUAAGUAACUGGGCACAGCUUGACGGUACCUAAUCAGAAAGCCACGGGUAACUACGUGC
rnacentral:rRNA from 1 species